UACAUAAAGCGUAUCUCGUUACAAAGGUUCUUUUCUCCAGUUCCACUUGGUUGUUAUAAUAUAUAUAGCCUUGCACUCUCUUGGUUGCACAAAGCUGUUGAUAUAUAUAACUUUCCAAACACUCAAACUUAAUUUAACUUGUUAAUGCUCUAUUUUUCUUUUCAAAAAUAUAUUAUUUCUCCACAGCCUUUUUGACUGGGCAAUUCAAUCUCAAAGUUACUCUUCACUCUAGUCACCCGACUGAAUUCUAGUCUCAAAAAACUCUAUUUCUCUGUUUUUUUUCCUAACUGAGAACCCAGACUUAAAUCAGUCUCUUUUUAUCUCAAUAUACAUUACUCCAAUAUGCCACACUCCUGUAUAAUUACGAAACUGAAUAGGGAUCUCAGCUACUGGUAUUACAAAUGAUGGUCCUCGAAUUCCCUUCAGCAAAAACUUUUUAUCAGGAACAAUUUGAUCUGAUUUUAUCAUUUCCUCAUGCAAUAUUGUCACAUCAGAUCUUAAUACCCUAAUCGGUUCUUCCUUUUUCUUUAUAUCCCCACUAGGCUUUUUCUCUAUCUCUACAUUAUCUCCUGCCUUCUGUAUCAUUCUAACAUUUCUCUGAGGUAAAUUGACUUUCUUUUCUGGACUUAACCUUGGACAUUUGGAUCUAAUAUUUGACAAUUAAAACAAGUAAUUUUUUCAAAACUUGUUUUUGGCAUUUCUCUCCUGGAGUAAUUACUAUUCCUCUCAUAAGGUUGAGUUAGCAUUUCCUUUCUAUUAAUGUUACUAUUUCUCCCAUAGGCUUGUGUUGACACUUCCCCUCUCACAGUACUCUUAGCUGCAAAGUUUCCCGCCUUUUAUUUAUAGGACAGUAGAGUCUCACUUAUCCAACAUAAAUGGGCCAGCAGAAUGUUGGAUAAGUGAAUAUGUUGGAUAAUAAGGAGGGAUUAAGGAAAAGCCUAUUAAACAUCAAAUUAGGUUAUGAUUUUACAAAUUAAGCACCAAAACAUCAUGUUAUACAACAAAUUUGACAGAAAAAGUAGUUCAAUACGCAGUAAUGCUAUGUAGUAAUUACUGUAUUUACGAAUUUAGUACCAAAAUAUCACAAUGUAUUGAAAACAUUGACUAUAAAAACACUGACUACUAAAAGGCAGACUGCAUUGGAUAAUCCAGAACGCUGGAUAAGCGAAUGUUGGAUAAGUGGGACUCUACUGUACUUCUUAAAUGGCAUGUUCAUGUUUUUCAUUUCAAAAUCUCCUUCUAACUCCUCAAGGAUUGUAGCAACUCCAGCCACAUUAUCAAUCCUCUUGUCCUUAAUGUAUCAUCUCAUUUGCAUAGGCACUAAUUUAUAAAAUUAGGCUCUAAGGCUAUAAGUUGUUUCAGCUGUUUGAAUGUCUUCACAUGGCUUCCUUCUAUCCAUUGAUCCAAUGCUUUAUUAUCCAAUCUUGCUCCUAAUUGUGUAUAUGUUUCACCUAUCUUCCUCUUUAAUUCUCUAAAGUUCCUUCUACUCUGUUCUGGUGUUAUGCCAAAUCUUAUCUUCACCCUUUCUUUAAAUAACUGGUAAUCUGUUAUCUCUUCAUCCCUCAUAUCAGCAUACACUUGGUUUAAUUCUACUGAGAUCAAUGGUUUCAUAUACGACAUCUUAUUUUCCUCAGAAAUCUCCAACUCCACACAGGUCCUUUCAAAAGAUGAUAAAAAAGUUUCUAUAUCAUCUCCUUUCUGGAAUUUUGAAAAUCUUUUCAGUUUAGCUGAGAACUCAUUAUAAUUAUGUGGAGUAAAUACUUCACUUUCUCUGUCCUGUAAUCUCAUUUGAAACAUCAUUCUCUCGUGUUCCCUUUGCUCUUUUCAGCUUCCAAUUCCAUCUUUCUCAUUUCUAAUUUCAGUCUCAGGACUUCAGUUGUUUGUCCCUGAGGUCCUCCUUCCUCCUCUGAAGCCUGUCACAUUCUCCGCAUGCAUUGGUCUUGUUUUAGGAGGUGCCAUUUUUCUUCUCUGAGGUAAACCUCAGAACUAAACUAUAUUGUAUUACUUCCUAUUCUGGCUUCUCAAACUACUGGAUUUCAGUUUUAUUUGGAUCACAACACUUUAUACCACUGAAUUGAGGUAUUUUUCGGAUCCCAACGCUUAAUAACACUGGAUUUAGGUACUUUUUCGGAUCCCGAAGCUGCCACCAUUAAAUAUGUAACACUUUGCCCCGGAUUCUACAAUUUAGCAAUAUAUUAGAAGUUUUGAGUAAGAUUUGUUUUAAAUUAUCAUUAUUGAGGUUCUCUAUAAGUUAUGCCAGUAAAAUUAUUUCAAAAGGAGGGGGGUUUACUCCCAGCUCUGCGUUUCUGUUCUGUAAAAUGCCACAAGUUGUUAAAAUGGUUUAAUAGAAAAAAUUGAAUAUAUUCAUUAAAUAUUUAGGAAGUUCUUUAUUGUUUUACAAUUUAUUUUUCUACUUUUAGCUGUCAUUUUUGUUUUUUACUAUAAUAUUUAUUAGACAAAGAUUUAAAUGUUAGUUAUCAUUGGUUUCGUUUUCUAUUCAUCUAACAGUACAGAGUAAGCAAAUAAGCAGUUUGCUUAGACACAUGUUAUGACUCUUCUAAGACACUAUACGAAUUCCAUCUAAAUUUGUCUAGCUGUUUAAAAUUACCUUGAACCCAUGGAGUCUUUAAUCGCAAAAGCUGAUCCUUCUUUUCUGAUAUUUUUUUUUUACUUUUUGAUCUACUACAAAACAGAAAUACUAUAACACAAGUAUUGCCAGUUUUAAAACAAUUUAAAAGCCUGCCAUUGGUAGGACAAGAAGGAGGCCCGAACCUCAGAUGAGCUUCAUGAGCUUCAGAGUUUCAUGGCCCCAACCUCAGAUGAGCUUGUCACGCUUUCUGCUAAUAGAAAAUAAGGUAACAAGAUGUGUAAGGCAGGGCGUUAUGAUGUGGCAGCAGUUCUGGAGGAUCGUAAUGUGGAGGAUGAAAUGAUCUAUGGCUGGCUGGUUUUCUUUGACUUUGAAAAGUAUGUGUCUGUAAUCCUCCUUAAGAGCUUCAAUCUUGAGAAAGGUUGAACAGUUGAAGGGAGGAGGAGGGGAAGACCUGGUCACUCCCUCUAACUGGAUAUCACCUUAGUUGUGAAUUAGGAAAUAGAGGUAUCUCUGGUGCUUGGGAUAAGAUUGGAAGUACCUCACUUGAGGCGGGGGUGGAAUUUUCAGAAGUGUUUGGCGUAAAUAUGGAAAUCUUGGACACAUGGUGGAAACAGAUAUGCUGAGACAACAGUACAACGAAGGAAACAACAGGCACAGAAGACUUUUUAUUGAUAAGUACAUGUUUCCACAGGGAGUCCCUGGUGGUGCAGUGGGUUAAACUGCUGAGCUGCUGAACUUGCUGACCGAAAGGUUGGCAGUUCGAAUCCGGGGAGUGGGGUGAGCUCCCGCUGUUAGUGCCAAUCUAGCAGUUCAAAAAACAUGCAAAAUGUGAGUAGAUCGAUAGGUACUGCUCUGGCAAAAAGGUAAUGGCUCUCCAUGAAGUCAUGCUUCCCUAAACCGGAUUGCCUAUUAUCCGUCAGUUCCGGUUAUUCAACAUUCGGCCCCCCCGUUUAUGUCGAAUAACCGGAACUCUACUGUAUAUGCAUCUUCCAUACUGUGUUUGAUUAGUAGUUUGGCCCUCUUGGCUUUCUGUACUCUUUUAGUUAUGAUGCAAUAGCUCCUCCUUUGUAGUUUGCCCCUCUUGGCUUUCUGUACCCCUAGUUAUGAUGCAAUAGCUUCUCCCUCCUCUCUUGGGGCCUUGUACUUCAUCUGAAGAGAGAACUUGGCUGCCCAGCCUCUGGGAAACUAUCGUUUUUUUCACCUGCUGUAGUGUGAUGUUUAACAAGAUUUGCCCAGAAUAAAGGACCUAGAACCUUGUUUUGCGUCUCUGCAGCUGAGUCGACACUAUCUGACCAAAUUUCUCCAAGGUAUCUCAUAUAUGUAUAUGCAAACAUAGAUAUUCCAAAAUCUGGACAAAUCUGAAAUCCAAAACACUUCUGGUCCCAAGUAUUUUGGAUAAGGGAUACUGUAGUGCAUAUAUUCACUUGCACAAAGCAGUAACUAGACUACUACACUACCAAGGGGCUUACAUGUCCCAAAACCAAAAUUACAACCCAUGGGACAUCUUGCCCAGAGGAGCGGGGUUUGUACAAACAACUGGUAGGUCACCGAGUAAACACUACAGCAUGCUGGGCGAGACACAGCUUUGGUCUGAUCCAGGAUGGUUCUUCUUACAUUCUUGGCACACUUUCAGAGUGUUCUUAGUCCACUGCUAACAGGAAGCUGCUGAAUCCAGCAGUGAAAAUGUUAUGCUGUUUUUCUGUCUCUUUCUCUGUUCCUCACACACCAGCCUACAAAUCUGGAGUCUUCCAUGUGAUUCAUGAAACUUGUUACCCACAGCAAACAUGGAAGUGAAGUGUAGAAAAACAAGACUACUUUCCCCAUGAAUGUUUUCUGCGCUCCAUUACCAUGCUCAAAACAAAACAACCAGAUGCCACUGGAAGAUAUUACCAGACAAACAUCAUCUCAAUCGGUACCAAAGGCUCAAUGAAAUAGGAGAAGCAUCAAGACUGUGCUCAUGGGGGACAAAACACAGUUAAUGGUGGCCUGAAGGCAUAUUGGUUGUUUCUACCUGGGACACUUUUAAUGAGCUCAAGGACUGGGGAGAGCCUGGACUGGAGGCCUUUAAGAUCCAGCUUGAGCUCAGCAAGGCCAAGAUAACAAAUAAAUGCAAUAGGAUAAGGAAAAGGACAUGAGCUGCAGCCUGGAGCUCUAAGGGCUGUUAACUAUUUUAACAGCUUUCUGUUGCGAUUCCAAUAUUUGCAUGAAGCUAAAAAGGAUUAAGUGCUCAUUUCACUGCAAGGCUGCUUCAUCUUCUUGCAAUGCAUAAGCCAAGAAGUGGUAAUGGCAGAGAGGAGAGAAAAAAAGGAAGAACAUCAUAUGUCACCUAUUUAAAGUGUUUUGAUUUGUCAUAUUAGAAGAAAAUAGGUGCAUCCCUUGGCAAGAUGAACUUCUUUGCUCAUGUCUGCCUUCCAGAGAGUGGGCAAAGCCAGCCCUUCUUCAUUAGCAAACAAAAAAUCUUAUCCAUAUCUACAUAGAAGGAUUUUGCAUUACAACCCACAUGGAUGCUCAAGGGAUUAGCAGCAGCAGGAGGACACAAAGACUGUCUGUCCUUCACAAGAAACCAGCGGAUGUCUGGUCACGCCAAGGCAAAAAGCCAAUGGCUCACUUAUUACUGGUCCUAUAUUUUUAUUUAGAUAUGCUUCUUUUUCUAACUCCCAAGGCUCUGUUGUGACUGCGCCUUCGGGGAUUAUGGUUGAUGGUGAUGGGAUUCGAAGAGGAAGAAAAAACCCUCGUGAUGAGGGUUCACUGGAGGAGUUGCGCAGGAAGCGACUUGGAGAGCUAUAUGGGGAUCUUCUGAGGAAGAUUCAGAUGGGGAGUUUGGGGAAAUGGAUGCUGAGGAACAGGUGGUGGCUGGGGAAGUGGGCACUGAAUGGGCACAGCCGGAGAUGUCUGGGGAUUUGGGGCCUAUGGAUACUCCUGAACCUGGGGUUUCUGCAGGAGCUGAUCCCACUUGGGAUGCUUGGAGAAGGGAGGAUGGUUCUUUAAGUGUUCAUGGGGCUAAGUGUGGGCAGGAUGAUUGGGACUCCGAUGAAUUGCUAGGUACUCCGGAUCCACGAGCUCUAGCUGUGUGGAGUUCGGACUCUGAGUAGAUUUGGGACACCUGGUGUUUGGGUGUGAGUGUUUGGUCACCCAGGAGGAAGGAGAAUAAAAUGGGAAUGUUUGGCCAAUGCACUUUGCGUGUGGCAAGGUGUUGCUGAGGCGCCAUUGGGAUCUCUGUGUUUCCGUGAAGACUGGACUUGGACUGUGAUUCGGAUCUGCUGAUACCAUCUGGCUUGGCUCUCGCUGUGUCUUAUCGUGGACCUGGUUUGGAUGACUGCACCCUCUUCGGACUUUGGAUUGAAUUUGACCUGGCUUCUGUCUACGCUCUCUGACUGACGACUACUCCCGGCUUCUGACUUCUGGUUUGCCUUUCGGAAUUUGCUGCUGCCUCCCGACCUGACCUUGGAUUCUCCUGACGACGGCUAUUCAUCAUCCCUUUGAAGCUUCGGCUUUAUCUGCACCAUGGAAGCAGUUUACUGCUCUUCUAGUUUGUUUGUUUUCAAGCCAGUUUGCUGUUUUUCUUUUGGGAACUGUCCCUUUAACUCCGCAGAGCCGGCUGUCUGUUUGCAGAAACGGUUUGAAGCCAAAAGAGGCUUUUGCACUUUCUGUUAUACUCUGCAGCUUUUGGAAGGUUGCAAGCCUUCGUUUAUUUUGCAUAUUUUCUUGCAGUCAACUCUAUUUGUUUUUCCAAAGCUGAAUUGAAGCGUCUUUAGUUUUUAUUGAAUGUCAGCAUGGGAAAAUAGCAUGGCUUGUUUUUGGGUCAUUUUUGUCCAAACUACUCUUGAAACACUGAUAAGUGAAGUGUUUCAAGGAUACUUUCUGUGUUUAUGUUAUUUUUGGCUUAUCUUUGGAAUAAACUCUGUUUUGUUUGUUAA